GUCCUGGCAGUAAACGGUGCACGUUUGGUGUGAGCGGAUUCGACCCCGUUCGUGCCGGAGCUAACGCGUUAAACGUGCCGCCUGGGAAGUACGGUCGCAAGAUUAAAACUCAAAGAAAUUGACGGGGCCCGCACAAGCGGUGGAGUAUGUGGCUUAAUUCGAUGCAACGCGAAGAACCUUACCAGGGUUUGACAUGCACUGUGUCGGCGAUGAAAGUCGCCUAGCUGUAGCAAUACAGCGCUUUGCACAGGUGCUGCAUGGCUGUCGU
rnacentral:rRNA from 1 species